CAAUAGCGUAUAUUAAAGUUGUUGCGGUUAAAAAGCUCGUAGUUGGAUUUCUGCCGAGGACGACCGGUCCGCCCUCUGGGUGAGUAUCUGGCUCGGCCUGGGCAUCUUCUUGGAGAACGUAGCUGCACUUGACUGUGUGGUGCGGUAUCCAGGACUUUUACUUUGAGGAAAUUAGAGUGUUUCAAGCAGGCACACGCCUUGAAUACAUUAGCAUGGAAUAAUAAGAUAGGACCUCGGUUCUAUUUUGUUGGUUUCUAGAGCUGAGGUAAUGAUUAAUAGGGAUAGUUGGGGGCAUUCGUAUUUAACUGUCAGAGGUGAAAUUCUUGGAUUUGUUAAAGACGGACUACUGCGAANGNAUUUGCNAAGGAUGUUUNCAUUG
rnacentral:rRNA from 1 species